CCUGUUAAGUCAGAUGUGAAAGCCCGGGGCUUAACCUCGGAAUUGCAUUUGAAACUGGCAGGCUAGAGUCUUGUAGAGGGGGGUAGAAUUUCAGGUGUAGCGGUGAAAUGCGUAGAGAUCUGAAGGAAUACCAGUGGCGAAGGCGGCCCCCUGGACAAAGACUGACGCUCAGAUGCGAAAGCGUGGGGAGCAAACAGGAUUAGAUACCCUGGUAG
rnacentral:rRNA from 1 species